UACGUAGGUGGCAAGCGUUGUCCGGAAUUAUUGGGCGUAAAGCGCGCGCAGGCGGUCCUUUAAGUCUGAUGUGAAAGCCCACGGCUCAACCGUGGAGGGUCAUUGGAAACUGGGGGACUUGAGUGCAGGAGAGAAGAGUGGAAUUCCACGUGUAGCGGUGAAAUGCGUAGAGAUGUGGAGGAACACCGGUGGCGAAGGCGGCUACCUGGACAGAAACUGACGCUGAGGCGCGAAAGCUAGGGGAGCAAACAGG
rnacentral:rRNA from 1 species